rnacentral:rRNA from 1 species
UACGUAGGGUGCGAGCGUUAAUCGGAAUUACUGGGCGUAAAGCGUGCGUAGGCGGUUCUCCAAGUCCGUUGUGAAAGCCCCGGGCUCAACCUGGGAAUGGCAGUGGAAACUAGGGGACUGGAAUCUGGCAGAGGGGGGUGGAAUUCCGCGUGUAGCAGUGAAAUGCGUAGAUAUGCGGAGGAACACCGAUGGCGAAGGCAAUCCCCUGGGCCUGCACUGACGCUCAUGCACGAAAGCGCGGGGAGCAAACAGG